rnacentral:rRNA from 1 species
CCUACGGGAGGCAGCAGUGAGGGAUAUUGGUCAAUGGGCGAAACCCUGAACCAGCAACGCCGCGUGAGGGAUGACGGUCUUCGGAUUGUAAACCUCUGUCCUCUGUGAAGAUAAUGACGGUAGCUGAGGAGGAAGCUCCGGCUAACUACGUGCCAGCAGCCGCGGUAAUACGUAGGGAGCUAGCGUUGUCCGGAUUUACUGGGUGUAAAGGGUGCGUAGGCGGCCUUGCAAGUCAGAAGUGAAAUCCAUGGGCUUAACCCGUGAACUGCUUUUGAAACUGUAGGGCUUGAGUGAAGUAGAGGCAGGCGGAAUUCCCGGUGUAGCGGUGAAAUGCGUAGAGAUCAGGAGGAACACCAGUGGCGAAGGCGGCCUACUGGGCUUUAACUGACGCUGAAGCACGAAAGCGUGGGUAGCAAACAGGAUUAGAUACCCCUGUAGUC